UACAGAGGUCUCAAGCGUUGUUCGGAUUCAUUGGGCGUAAAGGGUGCGUAGGCGGCGCGGUAAGUCGGGUGUGAAAUCUCGGAGCUUAACUCCGAAACUGCAUUCGAUACUGGCGUGCUUGAGGACUGGAGAGGAGACUGGAAUUUACGGUGUAGCGGUGAAAUGCGUAGAUAUCGUAAGGAAGACCAGUGGCGAAGGCGGGGUCUCUGGACAGCUCCUGACGCUGAGGCACGAAGGUCAGGGGAGCAAACGGG
rnacentral:rRNA from 1 species